UGAGCUUUACUUAACAUUUUGUUGGUGGAAACAAUGUUAGAAAAAAAAUUUACGGAAUUUUCCUUUUAAAGAUGCCGUGGACGCUAAAAUGUAUUCCCAUCCUUUCAAAAAUAAAGGAAAAGGUUUCCUGCAGAAUACAGUCGUUUCUAACUCUUUAUCUAUCAGCUUUAAUGUUUGUGAUAGCAGUUUCUACAAAUGAAUGGUUUGUAUGUGGAACCAAAGUGAAAACUGGCAUAUGGAGUAUAUGUCUCUUCCAACCAGCAUCGAACCACUGGAAAUGUGAUUCUUUUAAAUCUGAUUUUGCAGUGGCUGUUCAGGCAUUUUCGAUGAUGUGUAUUUUUGGAUAUGUUCUAACUGUAGUAUUUCUUGUCAUCUUUAUAAAAUGUCCAACCUCAACAUCUACAAUGUUCUCUCUGACAUUGUCUUUAUGUUUGCUGUGUUUAAGUAUAGCAUGUUUACAGAUGAUGACAAUGAUAGUGUAUGCCAUCAAAGUUAAAGAUAGUAUAAUCGAUGUUAUCAGAAUGAACUUCUCUCAACAGAAUUCAUCCAUGUCAUGGUCCUUUGGUUUAGCACUGAUCUCUGUUGUCAUGACAACUGUAUCAGCCGUUCUAGCCUUCAGCGAGAUAAGAAAAAUAACCGGCGGAGACACAGUUGGUGUCUCAGAUGGGGUCUGAACCUCAGCAUGUUUACACCAUGUUGUUUGAGACAUAUACAUUUGUUGCUUAAAAUUUGCUUGCCAGAUUUGUUAUAUAAAAUAUUUAGUGCUUCAAUGUUAAAGAAGAAUAUAGAUUGUUUUAUAUAA